rnacentral:rRNA from 2 species
GAAACGACUGCUAAGACUGGAUAGGAAAUUAGAAGGCAUCUUUUAAUUUUUAAAAGACCUUUUUCGAAAGGUAUACUUAAAGAGGGGCUUGCGGCACAUUAGUUAGUUGGUAGGGUAAAAGCCUACCAAGACCAUGAUGUGUAGCUGGACUGAGAGGUUGAACAGCCACAUUGGGACUGAGACACGGCCCAAACUCCUACGGGAGGCAGCAGUAGGGAAUUUUCGGCAAUGGAGGAAACUCUGACCGAGCAACGCCGCGUGAACGAUGAAGUAUUUCGGUAUGUAAAGUUCUUUUAUUGAAGAAGAAAAAAUAGUGGAAAAACUAUCUUGACGAUAUUCAAUGAAUAAGCCCCGGCAAACUAUGUGCCAGCAGCCGCGGUAAUACAUAGGGAGCGAGCGUUAUCCGGAAUUAUUGGGCGUAAAGGGUGCGUAGGCGGUUUGGUAAGUCUAUAGUUUAAUUUCAGUGCUUAACACUGUUCUGCUAUAGAAACUAUCAGACUAGAGUGAGAUAGGGGCAAGUGGAAUUCCAUGUGUAGCGGUAAAAUACGUAAAUAUAUGGAGGAACACCAGAGGCGUAGGCGGCUUGCUGGGUCUUUACUGACGCUGAGGCACGAAAGCGUGGGGAGCAAACAGGAUUAGAUACCCUGGUAGUCCACGCCGUAACGAUGAGUACUAAGUGUCGGGGAAACUCGGUACUGAAGUUAACACAUUAAGUACUCCGCCUGAGUAGUACGUACGCAAGUAUGAAACUUAAAGGAAUUGACGGGACUCCGCACAAGCGGUGGAUCAUGUUGUUUAAUUCGAAGAUACACGAAAAACCUUACCGGUCUUGACAUACUCUGCAAAGCUAUAGCAAUAUAGUGGAGGUUAUCAGUUGCACAGGUGGUGCAUGGUUGUCGUCAGCUCGUGUCGUGAGAUGUUGGGUUAAGUCCCGCAACGAGCGCAACCCUUAUUGUUAGUUACCAGCACGUAAUGGUGGGGACUUUAGCAAGACUGCCAGUGAUAAAUUGGAGGAAGGUGGGGACGACGUCAAAUCAUCAUGCCCCUUAUGACCUGGGCUACAAACGUGAUACAAUGGCUGUUACAAAGGGUAGCUGAAGCGCAAGUUUUUGGCGAAUCUCAAAAAAACAGUCUCAGUUCGGAUUGAAGUCUGCAACUCGACUUCAUGAAGUUGGAAUCGCUAGUAAUCGCGAAUCAGCAUGUCGCGGUGAAUACGUUCUCGGGGUUUGUACACACGGCCCGUCAAA